rnacentral:rRNA from 1 species
GAGAGCCUACGGGGGGCAGCAGUGAGGAAUAUUGGUCAAUGGGCGGAAGCCUGAACCAGCCAAGUCGCGUGAGGGAAUAAGGCCCUACGGGUCGUAAACCUCUUUUGCCGGGGAGCAAGGGCCGGGACGCGUCCCGGCCCGGAGAGUACCCGGAGAAAAAGCAUCGGCUAACUCCGUGCCAGCAGCCGCGGUAAUACGGAGGCUGCGAGCGUUAUCCGGAUUUAUUGGGUUUAAAGGGUGCGUAGGCGGAACAUUAAGU